rnacentral:rRNA from 1 species
AUUGAACGCUGGCGGCGUGCCUAACACAUGCAAGUCGAGCGAGAAAGCUUUCUUCGGGAAGUGAGUAGAGCGGCGCACGGGUGAGUAACGCGUGGGUAUCUACCCUAUAGACUGGGAUAACAGUUGGAAACGACUGCUAAUACCGGAUACGAUCCUUCGGGAUGAAAGGUGGCCUCUCCUUGGAAGCUAUCACUAUUGGAUGAGCCCGCGUCUCAUUAGCUUGUUGGUAAGGUAAUGGCUUACCAAGGCGACGAUGGGUAGCUGGUUUGAGAGGAUGAUCAGCCACACUGGAACUGAAACACGGUCCAG